GGUGUCUCCCUGGGCCAGGUGGUCAGGCCGGCUGAUAGACUCACACAAAGUGAACUGGCCGGCACAGACACUCCCCCACUUCCCCCAGGGGGAGGCGCGCACGCGCACUCGCGGAGGCCCUGCCCCCCUCCGUCACGUCUCUGCUCUCCGCUGGGGAGAGGCCCGGAGUGGCUGUGGCACGGAGACUGGUUUCUGGCGGCUGCUUGGAGGGGACCCUGCGGAGACUCGCCGCGGGAAGAAGCUCACCUGGGUGGGGAAGCCGGGAGCACUGGCCCCGGAUCCAGUGGUCGUGGCCAAUUCUUCCUGGAUUCCUGGGACGGAGAAAUGCUCCAGGAACAGCAGGCAUAUGUUGUUUCAGGCGGUGACAUUCCAGGAUGUGGCUGUGUACUUCACAAGGAAAGAAUGGAAACAUCUGGACUCUUUUCAAAGGCAUCUCUACAGGGAUGUGAUGCUGGAGAAUUAUGGGAACCUGCUGUCCCUGGGUAAGAGCUGUUUCCCUGUGUUAAGAACUGUGACUUACAAACCUGUCUUUCCUGGUAUCCUGACUGCCUCCUGUAAUGUCAUCUGUGUUGGAAAUGCCUAGUGUGGAAACUGCUGUUCAUUUUGUAUCCAUCUGGAUACUAUUUACGUGUUCUUGCCCUUCUCCCUGGACUGUCUCACUAGCUCUGCCACAGAAGAAUCCUGCCUCUCUGGAAAUCCUUCUCUUGGUGACUGAUUCUUGGUGAUUGUGUCCUUCUCUCUCUCUCUUUUUUUUUUUUUGGUGAGGCAGUGGGGUGAAGUGACUUGCCCAGGGUCACACAGCUAGUAUGUGUCUGAG
rnacentral:lncRNA from 1 species